GGGUCAGUAGGUUGGUCGUGCCACCGGUACGUACUGGUCUCACUGAUUCCUCCUUCCUGAAUAACCGUAAUGCCAUUAAUUUGGUGUUGCGGGGAAACAGGACUGUUACUUUGAAAAAAUUAGAGUGUUUAAAGCAAGCUAGCGCUUGAAUACAUUAGCAUGGAAUAAUGAAAUAGGACGAUCGAUCCUAUUUUGUUGGUUUCUAGGAUUGACGUA
rnacentral:rRNA from 1 species